AUUGAACGCUGGCGGCAUGCUUUACACAUGCAAGUCGAACGGUAACAGGGUGCUUGCACCGCUGACGAGUGGCGAACGGGUGAGUAAUGCGUCGGAACGUGCCGAGUAGUGGGGGAUAACGCAGCAAAAGUUGUGCUAAUACCGCAUACGUACUGAGGUAGAAAGUGGGGGGCCUUCGGGCCUCACGCUAUUCGAGCGGCCGACGUCUGAUUAGCUAGUAGGUGAGGUAAAGGCUCACCUAGGCGACGAUCAGUAGCGGGUCUGAGAGGAUGAUCCGCCACACUGGGACUGAGACACGGCCCAGACUCCUACGGGAGGCAGCAGUGGGGAAUUUUGGACAAUGGGCGAAAGCCUGAUCCAGCCAUGCCGCGUGUCUGAAGAAGGCCUUCGGGUUGUAAAGGACUUUUGUCAGGGAGGAAAUCCCUAGUGCUAAUAACACUGGGGGAUGACAGUACCUGAAGAAUAAGCACCGGCUAACUACGUGCCAGCAGCCGCCGUAA
rnacentral:rRNA from 1 species